rnacentral:lncRNA from 1 species
AUGUCCUUUUUACCACUGAGCUUGUUCUAAGUUUCCUCUGGACCUCCUCUGUUGAUAAGCUAGUGGGGACUUGAGGAGUGAGGCUGGAAGUCCAGCCUCCCUGCCAACACCUCAGGGAUGAAGGACAGUUGCUCUGAUUCAUUUCUGGACUUCAGUGGAAGAAGCAGCCCUUAUUUAGGAUAUUGUUAGUCUUUGGCAGAGGGAAUACAAAGCAAUGGAAGGGUGAUGUGAUGGCUCCGAAAGCUUCUGUUGGAUGUAGAAUAUAAAGUUUGCUCACCUUUUUUAAUCCAAAGAGAAAAACAAGGAGAGAAAAAUCUAAACCCAGCAGAAGAGAAAGUUUAAGAAAGCGGUCGUCGCCAAUACCAAAAUUAGCUAUGAUAUUCAGGAAGAAAAAAAUGGAAACACGAUAACCACAGUCAAUAAAGACCAAGGCCACAUUCCAUUGACCAGAGCUCAGCCACGCGCCACACCUGGCUAAAGAGACUCUGGCUGAAGAAUUCCCUGAAUAUUUUAAUGUAGCUCUAGGUUAUAACACAGAACAACCACAAGGUGGCAGAAGAACUCCAUUCUUGUAAAUCUCUUAGUUGCUUCUUUAUUUCAUCUUCCCUAUUCCAUCUAAUGUUCCCUGAAUUUUACUAUUUUGUUGGUUUGAAAAUAUGUGUGACUUACGUCCUUUAAAGGAUUUGGUUCGUAAGGUUUUGAAUAGACUGGAAUAUAAAACAUUUAUAGAAAAG